CCAGCUAGGUAAUCUAGUUAGCAUUGAGAAUAUGUCUCCAGCUAGGUAAUCUAGUUAGCAUUGAGAAUAUGUCUCCAGCUAGGUAAUCUAGUUAGCAUUGAGAAUAUGUCUCCAGCUAGGUAAUCUAGUUAGCAUUGAGAAUAUGUCUCCAGCUAGGUAAUCUAGUUAGCAUUGAGAAUAUGUCUCCAGCUAGGUAAUCUAGUUAGCAUUGAGAAUAUGUCUCCAGCUAGGUAAUCUAGUUAGCAUUGAGAAUAUGUCUCCAGCUAGGUAAUCUAGUUAGCAUUGAGAAUAUGUCUCCAGCUAGGUAAUCUAGUUAGCAUU